rnacentral:rRNA from 1 species
GGCAGGGAGAAGUUUGGGAGGAUGGACAAGAUGGAGGGACUGAUGAGGAAUAUGAAGUUGUCGGCAGCGGAGAGGAAGGCGGUGAUGGUGCCCAGGCCGAGGGAGGGGUCGAUGCUCUUUGCGGAUCCACAGGCGGUUGGGAGAGUGUUUUCGGAGAAGCCUGCAUCACGGGAGGCGCUUGAGCAAUCCUUGGGGAGGGUCUGGUGUCCCAGCAGGGGUCUGGUGUGCAAAGAUCUGGGACAAAAUACCUUCCUAUUCACCUUCAUGCAGGCAUCAGGGAAACGGAAGGCAUUGGAGGAGGGUCCUUGGAUGUAUGACCAUGAUUUGAUUGUUAUGAUUGACUAUGACCCAACGAAGACUAUUGAGGAGAUGGAGUUCCUGAGAAUCCCAAUCUGGGUUAAGGUCAUGGGGCUUCUAGUUGGUCUCAUGGAUAACUACACCGGGGAAGCGAUCGGGGCCAAGCUGGGCCAGUUUUUGGAGAUGGAUGCAGAUGAGGAUGGUUCAGCAGCUGGGGCAUUUAUCAGAAUUAAGGUGUGGCUCGACAUACGAGAGCCCCUUUUGCGGGGUGUGUUCAUUCCGGUUGAAGGCAAGAACAAGGAGGUAAGGGAGAAAUGGUGUACCUUUCAGUAUGAGUUUCUCCCCAACUACUGUUAUGUGCGUGGCCUGUUAGGACAUAUGAGAGAUGUCUAUCCGUAG